UGCUUCGUGUUCUCCUCCCCAUAAGCCUUCAUCUUCCUUUUUAAGGGGUUUUUAUCAGAUCAACUUAGACUUUCCAUUCUCUUCUAACUCCAGAUUCAAAAAAUAAAUUAGUUUUUCUCUGCAAAAUUUUUGGAACCCUAGAAAUCGACGUAUUCAAAAAAUCUCCUUGACGCAAUCGGAGUGACAUUUGCAGCUACGGAUUUUGUUUUCAUCUUACAGGUCUACAUCAAUUUUAAAACUCGUAAAAAAUUAUAUUCAAAACCUGAGGUGCUUCGAUACAUUGAGCUUGCUGAGAAGAGAUCAGGAGAGAUAGAAACACAUGCUUGAGCAUGGAAGAACUGCGACAGCUGGAGAAGCAACUUAACGAAAGCCUACUGUCUGUAAAAGCUAAGAAGGACCAACUGGUGAUGGAACAACUCGAGCAUUCACAAAUACAGGUACCUCACAGUAUUUGUAUGACUACAUAAUUAUGAUUUGCUGUUUGAUGUUUGUUGUUGGUGUCCUGUUGACAUGGUAGUAUGUGUUUUAUCCAAGACUAAAGAUAAUGGU